UACAUGGUUAAUGAAAACUCUCUUCCAUGAAAUUUAGCUGCUUUUUGUUUGUACUGUGAAACUGCGAAUGGCUCAUUAAAUCAGUUAUAGUUUAUUUGAUGAUACCUUGCUACAUGGAUAACUGUGGUAAUUCUAGAGCUAAUACAUGCAUUCAAGCCCCAACUUCUGGAAGGGGUGUAUUUAUUAGAUAAACGGGUCUUAUAAUUGGAAUGAGUACAAUUUAAAUACCUUAACGAGGAACAAUUGGAGGGCAAGUCUGGUGCCAGCAGCCGCGGUAAUUCCAGCUCCAAUAGCGUAUGUGUACUGUCUGACUGAGUCUUACCUCUUGGUGAGCCGGCGUGCCCUUUAUUGGUGUGCGUCGGGGAACCAGGACUUUUACCUUGAGAAAAUUAGAGUGUUCAAAGCAGGCCCUAUGCCUGAAUACAUUAGCAUGGAAUAAUAAAAUAGGACGUGCGGUUCUAUUUUGUUGGUUUCUAGAGUCGCCGUAAUGAUUAAUAGGGAUAGUUGGGGGCAUUGGUAUUGAGUCGCUAGAGGUGAAAUUCUUGGAUUGACUCAAGACCGACUACUGCGAAAGCAUUUGCCAGGAUGUUUCUCAAUUAAUCAAGAAACAGAAGGUUAGAAGAUCGAAAAUCCACGGAUCAGGA
rnacentral:ncRNA from 1 species